CCUCUUGGCGCCACCAGUUUCCCGCUCAGUCUGCACCGUGGCAGCAUCGGCGACAGACGCUUAGCGGUUGUGGUGUUCGGGUGCUCUGGCCCGGAGGCAUCUCCAGCAGGCACUUCCAGCACAGACAGUAGGGUCUUCGGACUUUGAGGACGAACCCACGGCAAGCAGAGGCUGUGGAAACCCAGGACGAUUCUGCCUUCAUAUUUGGCCUUGACUUGCCUGAGUCCUGAUCAAACUCUGUGAGCUGGUCCCUGCACCUGGUAUUAGAUCA
rnacentral:lncRNA from 1 species